UACAGAGGGUGCAAGCGUUAAUCGGAAUUACUGGGCGUAAAGCGUGCGUAGACGGUCAUGUAAGUCGGGUGUGAAAGCCCCGGGCUCAACCUGGGAAUUGCAUUCGAGACUGCAUGGCUAGGGUGCGGAAGAGGGAAGCGGAAUUUCCGGUGUAGCGGUGAAAUGCGUAGAUAUCGGAAGGAACACCAGUGGCGAAAGCGGCUUCCUGGUCCAGCACCGACGUUCAGGCACGGAAGCGUGGGGAGCAAACAGG
rnacentral:rRNA from 1 species